rnacentral:rRNA from 1 species
UAAUACGUAGGAUGCGAGCGUUGUCCGGAAUUAUUGGGCGUAAAGCGAACGUAGGCGGUCUUUUAAGAUUGGUCUUAAAGACUGGGGCUCAACCCCAGGAAUGGACUGAUAACUGGGAGACUGGAGGACGUCAGAGGAAAGUGGAAUUCCGAGUGUAGCGGUGAAAUGCGUAGAUAUUCGGAGGAACACCAGUGGCGAAAGCGACUUUCUGGGGCGUUCCUGACGCUGAGGUUCGAAAGCUCGGGGAGCAAACAGGAUUAGAUACCCUGGUAGUCCGAGCCGUAAACGAUGGACACUAAGUGUCGAGGGUAUCGACCCCCUCGGUGCUGUAGCUAACGCGUUAAGUGUCCCGCCUGGGGAGUACGGUCGCAAGACUG